rnacentral:rRNA from 1 species
AUCGCUAAUACCGCAUAACGUCCGGAUGGGACAUCCUGUCUGGACCAAAGGAGAAAUCCGCUGAGAGAUGGGCUCGCGUCCAAUUAGCUGGUUGGCGGGGUAAAGGCCCACCAAGGCGACGAUUGGUAGCCGGACUGAGAGGUUGAACGGCCACAUUGGGACUGAGACACGGCCCAGACUCCUACGGGAGGCAGCAGUGGGGAAUAUUGCACAAUGGGGGGAACCCUGAUGCAGCGACGCCGCGUGAGGGAAGAAGGUUUUCGGAUUGUAAACCUCUGUCCUCUGUGACGAUAAUGACGGUAGCAGAGGAGGAAGCCACGGCUAACUACGUGCCAGCAGCCGCGGUAAUACGUAGGUGGCGAGCGUUAUCUGGAAUUACUGGGUGUAAAGGGAGCGUAGGCGGGGGAACAAGUUGAAUGUUUAAGAUAUGGGCUCAACUCAUAUAAGCGUUCAAAACUGUUUUUCUUGAGUGAAGUAGAGGUAAGCGGAAUUCCUAGUGUAGCGGUGGAAUGCGUAAAUAUUAGGAGGAACACCAGUGGCGAAGGCGGCUUACUGGGCUUUAACUGACGCUGAGGCUCGAAAGCGUGGGUAGCAAACAGGAUUAGAUACCCUGGUAGUCCACGCUGUAAACGA